rnacentral:rRNA from 1 species
AAUGAACGCUGGCGGCAGGCCUAACACAUGCAAGUCGAACGGAUCCUUCGGGAUUAGUGGCGGACGGGUGAGUAACGCGUGGGAACAUACCCAAAGGUACGGAAUAGCCUCGGGAAACUGGGAGUAAUACCGUAUGUGCUCGAAAGAGGAAAGAUUUAUCGCCUUUGGAUUGGCCCGCGUUGGAUUAGGUAGUUGGUGGGGUAAUGGCCUACCAAGCCGACGAUCCAUAGCGGGUUUGAGAGGAUGAUCAGCCACACUGGGACUGAGACACGGCCCAGACUCCUACGGGAGGCAGCAGUGGGGAAUCUUAGACAAUGGGGGAAACCCUGAUCUAGCCAUGCCGCGUGAUCGAUGAAGGCCUUAGGGUCGUAAAGAUCUUUCAGGUGGGAAGAUAAUGACUGUACCACCAGAAGAAGCCCCGGCUAACUCCGUGCCAGCCGCCGCAGUAA